UAUGGCCAUAUCACAUUGAAACACAGGUUACCAUAUGAUCAGCAAAGUUAAGCAACAUUGAGCCUGGUCUAGAUGGGUGACUACAUGGGAAUACCAGGUGCUGUAAG